rfam:Deltaproteobacteria bacterium RIFCSPHIGHO2_02_FTLL_40_11 rifcsphigho2_02_scaffold_21520, whole genome shotgun sequence.
GGAGAGGUGACUGAGCGGUUGAAAGUGGCGGUCUCGAAAACCGUUAGGCCCGUAAGGGUCUCGGGAGUUCAAAUCUCCCCCUCUCCG